rnacentral:rRNA from 1 species
GAUGAACGCUGGCGGCGUGCCUAAUACAUGCAAGUCGAGCGAACAGACGAGGAGCUUGCUCCUCUGACGUUAGCGGCGGACGGGUGAGUAACACGUGGAUAACCUACCUAUAAGACUGGGAUAACUUCGGGAAACCGGAGCUAAUACCGGAUAAUAUAUUGAACCGCAUGGUUCAAUAGUGAAAGACGGUUUUGCUGUCACUUAUAGAUGGAUCCGCGCCGCAUUAGCUAGUUGGUAAGGUAACGGCUUACCAAGGCAACGAUGCGUAGCCGACCUAAGAGGGUGAUCGGCCACACUGGAACUGAGACACGGUCCAGACUCCUACGGGAGGCAGCAGUAGGGAAUCUUCCGCAAUGGGCGAAAGCCUGACGGAGCAACGCCGCGUGAGUGAUGAAGGUCUUCGGAUCGUAAAACUCUGUUAUUAGGGAAGAACAAAUGUGUAAGUAACUAUGCACGUCUUGACGGUACCUAAUCAGAAAGCCACGGCUAACUACGU